AAAUGCUUCCGGUAAACAAACCCAGUAGAGCUCUGAGAUCGACCCACUCAGGUUAAAUAGUGGAGCGCCGAGUCCCAAGCAAACAUGGUGAAGCAGCAUUUAGGGAUUGCUGCACACAACAAAGUAUCAUCAGCGUUGCUUAGGGAAUAAUGAAAGACACUUAAGCGACGCGGCAGCCGGAGCUCGGCGAGCGGGGGCGCGCAUUUCGACGAGGUGCCCCGGAACGCAAUUAUUGGGGUUUUAUGGGAUCUGGCAUGUCUGAAUUUAGAGUUCCCGGCCUUCGGUGUAGUACCAAGUUGUGCCACAACAUGCCAGGCAGCAACGAGGUCGACUGGAUGAGAUGUAGCGGAAUUAACAAGAAGAAGAAGAGGAGACAGUCGUGGGAGCACUGGAGCCUAUCCCAGCUGUCAUCGGCCAGGAGGUGGGGUACACCCUGAACUGGUUGCCAGUCAAUCACAGGGCAGAUGGAAACCGGAAGGCCCGGAGAAAACCCACGCAAGCACGAGGGAGAACAUGCAAACUCCGCACAGGGGGAUGCCGGGAUUUGAACCCCAGACAACAGAAGUGUGAGGCCAACCCUCUACAGCUGCCCCACCGUGCCGCAUAUCAUUAAAAUUGAUUCCAUUUUAAAAAUGAAAUUCAGUGGCCCAUGUCUUUGCUGUUAUUAAUAAA